rnacentral:rRNA from 1 species
GAGGUCAGGCUGAAGACCUUACCCGAUUAGCUGAGAGGUGGUGCAUGGCCGUCGUCAGUUCGUACUGUGAAGCAUCCUGUUAAGUCAGGCAACGAGCGAGACCCACGUCCACAGUUGCCAACAUACCCUCCCGGGGUGAUGGGUACACUGUGGAGACCGCCGCUGCUAGAGCGGAGGAAGGAGUGGGCAACGGUAGGUCAGUAUGCCCCGAAUCUCCCGGGCUACACGCGGGCUACAAUGGUUGGUACAAUGGGCAUCUACCCCGAAAGGGGAAGGAAAUCUCUUAAAGCCAAUCGUAGUUCGGAUUGAGGGCUGCAACUCGCCCUCAUGAAGCUGGAAUCCGUAGUAAUCGCGUUUCAACAGAACGCGGUGAAUACGUCCCUGCUCCUU